CGGAGGGUGCGAGCGUUGUCCGGAAUCAUUGGGCGUAAAGGGCGCGUAGGUGGCCCGGUCAGCGUGCGGUGAAAGCUCGGGGCUCAACCCCGAGUCGGCCGUGCGAACUGCUGGGCUUGAGCACUGUAGAGGCAGGCGGAAUUCCGGGUGUAGCGGUGGAAUGCGUAGAGAUCCGGAAGAACACCGGUGGCGAAGGCGGCCUGCUGGGCAGUGGCUGACACUGAGGCGCGACAGCGUGGGGAGCAAACAGGAUUGGAUACCCUGGUAGUCCACGCCGUAAACGAUGGGCACUAGGCGCUUGGGGGAGCGACCCUCCGAGGGCCGGCGCUAACGCGUUAAGUGCCCCGCCUGGGGAGUACGGCCGCAAGGCUG
rnacentral:rRNA from 1 species